rnacentral:rRNA from 1 species
CAACCUACCUAUCAGAGGGGAAUAACCCGGCGAAAGUCGGACUAAUACCGCAUAAAACAGGGGCACCGCAUGGUGAUAUUUGUUAAAGAAAUUCGCUGAUAGAUGGGCAUGCGUUCCAUUAGGUAGUUGGUGAGGUAACGGCUCACCAAGCCGACGAUGGAUAGGGGAACUGAGAGGUUGGUCCCCCACACUGGUACUGAGACACGGACCAGACUCCUACGGGAGGCAGCAGUGAGGAAUAUUGGUCAAUGGGCGGGAGCCUGAACCAGCCAAGUCGCGUGAAGGAAGAAGGAUCUAUGGUUCGUAAACUUCUUUUGCAGGGGAAUAAAGUGCAGGACGUGACCUGUUUUGUAUGUACCCUGAGAAUAAGGAUCGGCUAACUCCGUGCCAGCAGCCGCGGUAAUACGGAGGAUCCGAGCGUUAUCCGGAUUUAUUAGGUUUAAAGGGUGCGUAGGUGGUUUGAUAAGUCAGCGGUGAAAGUUUGCAGCUUAACUGUAAAAAUGCCGUUGAAACUGUCGGACUUGAGUGUAAAUGAGGUAGGCGGAAUGCGUGGUGUAGCGGUGAAAUGCAUAGAUAUCACGAAGAACUCCGAUUG